UACGAAGGGGGCUAGCGUUGUUCGGAAUUACUGGGCGUAAAGGGCGCGUAGGCUGUGCUGUAAGUCAGGCGUGAAAGGCCCGGGCUCAACCUGGGAAUGGCGCUUGAUACUGCGGCGCUGGAAGGUGGGAGAGGAUGGCGGAAUUCCCAGUGUAGAGGUGAAAUUCGUAGAUAUUGGGAAGAACACCGGUGGCGAAGGCGGCCAUCUGGCCCACAUUUGAUGCUGAGGCGCGAAAGCGUGGGGAGCAAACAGG
rnacentral:rRNA from 1 species